rnacentral:sRNA from 1 species
UUAUAUAUGGUAUAAUUUCUGUCGGAAGUUAGUUAAUAGAGUGGUUUCCACUUCUUUUAUUCUAGGAAUAAAGGAGGUGAGGCGUAUGAGUACAUAUGAAGCAAUAUCAUUAAUGAUAGCCUUUGGGACUCUUGUAGCCAUUAUUUUAGGUACAAAAA